AGAAAAGAAAAAAGAAAAACUAAAAGAGAUAAACAAAACAAAACAACAACAAAAAAAAGCCAAGUCCAGCCUCGCCUUAGCCUGGCUUCUUGUCCCAGUGGCCUUAGCCCCCCACCCCUGGGCUGAGGAGAGGGGGCAGCACGCUUCAGGUUGGCCUGCCGCGGUCGGAGCUGUUGGCUUAACCAGGCUGAUUGCUGUAUGCUGAACUUGGCCAUUUUAGUAGGAACUACUGGGGUUCAAGAUUCUCAAGGACUGACAAAUGAAGCAUACUCAAGGGAAAGCCCCAAGGGUACAAGGUAUUGACAAGGUAUGAAGUGCUGGAGUGAUCUAACCAAAUGAAAAGUUUUCUGGGACAUGAGGAAGACAUCUGGUAAGAUAUGAAGAUAGAGAGAGGUUAGUUGUCUUAAGAUGCCUAUAAGAUAUCCAACUGCUCUCAGUUGUUUCCUUGGCCCCAGGGCAUCUUGAAUCCAAGAGAUGCUACUUACUACUCCAGUGCUUAGGAGUUUGCUUCACAUAGGUCUGCACUCCUGUUAGAGCUGAAGAGCCCCAUUCCUUUGGAGUCAUGGAAGUGCCACCUAAAUAAGAAUUUAACUCCAAGGAUCCCAUUUGAAGGGAACUUGGCUAGCGGUCACUUUGAUCCAGGUUGUGAUUAGUCUGCUUAGUAUUUUCUCCAAUUUGGAUUCAGCAGGUCCAGGGAAACCAUAAUGGCCCC
rnacentral:lncRNA from 1 species